AUAGGGGUUGGAAACGCUAAUAGAAAACAAAAACUAUAGAAAAAUAAAUAUUUGUGUAUUUCAUAUUAAGGUCGAUUUUAUUUAUAUAAAAUAAGGUAUUAAACAGUGUGUAAUUUGUUUUAAAAAAAACAAGGAAGCUGAAGGAUAUAUAUUACAAACAUGAUCACACUAAUUUUUGGGAAAUUGCCACAAAUACCACAUUCAUAGUACCAUUUUUCAUGUUU
rnacentral:lncRNA from 1 species